rnacentral:rRNA from 1 species
GACGGAGGGUGCAAACGUUGUUCGGAAUCACUGGGCGUAAAGGGCGCGUAGGCGGACUUGUAAGUCGGGAGUGAAAACUCGGGGCUCAACCCCGAGCCUGCUUCCGAAACUGCGAGUCUUGAGGACCGGAGAGGAAAGUGGAAUUCCUAGUGUAGCGGUGGAAUGCGUAGAUAUUCGGAAGAACACCAGUGGCGAAGGCGACUUACUGGACACAUAUUGACGCUGAGGUGCGAAAGCGUGGGGAGCAAACAGG